rnacentral:rRNA from 1 species
UACGUAGGUGGCAAGCGUUGUCCGGAUUUACUGGGCGUAAAGAGCGCGCAGGCGGUCGUUCAAGUCGAGUGUGAAAGCCCCCGGCUCAACUGGGGAGGGUCAUUCGAUACUGAUCGACUCGAAGGCAGGAGAGGGUAGUGGAAUUCCCGGUGUAGUGGUGAAAUGCGUAGAGAUCAUGAGGAAGACCAGUGGCGAAGGCGGCUCUCUGGGACGGUACUGACGCUGAGACGCGAAAGCGUGGGGAGCGAACAGG